GACGAACGCUGGCGGCGUGCCUAAUACAUGCAAGUCGAGCGCUGAAGGUUGGUACUUGUACCGACUGGAUGAGCAGCGAACGGGUGAGUAACGCGUGGGGAAUCUGCCUUUGAGCGGGGGACAACAUCUGGAAACGAAUGCUAAUACCGCAUAAAAACUUUAAACACAAGUUUUAAUUUUGAAAGAUGCAAUUGCAUCACUCUAAAAUGAUCCCGCGUUCUCUUAGCUAGUUGGUGAGGUAAAGGCUCAACAAGGCGAAGAUACAUAGCCGCCCUGAGAGGGGGGACGGCCACAAUGGGAAUGAGACAAGGCCCAAAACCCUACGGGAAGGAGCAGUAGGGAAUCUUUGGGAAUUGGCGGAAGUCUGACCGAGCAACGCCGGGGGAGUGAAGAAAGGUUUCGGAUCGGAAAAAUCUGGUGGUAGAGGAGAAAGAUGGUGGGAGGGGAAAGCUCAUGAAGUGACGGUAACUAAUCAGAAAGGGACGGCUAACUACGUG
rnacentral:rRNA from 1 species